AAGAAUUCAGACUCUUCGAGAACUACCUUAUUCAUCAAUAAAAUUCUUCAUUCAUCAAUAAAUACCAUCUUUUUGAGAUCAAAUAUACUUCUCCUUGGAAUUCGUGUACAUCCUUUUAGGACGAUGUAGCGGUAGUCCACCUCAUCAAUCGAGAGUUGUUUGGAUCAUCCCCAAACAUUUAAUUCAUUCUUUGUUGGCUAAGACAUUAUUUACUCUUUGAUUCAGAGUAUAUCUCUUUCAUGGAUCCAAGAUACCAUUCUUCUUUGAUCUCG
rnacentral:lncRNA from 1 species